UGUGAAUGGAAGAGCACAGGGACACAACAUGACAACAUAGUCCCAAUUUCUAAGUUGCUGUUGGGUCUCAGAGAAGCUAUGUGAAUAAUGUGAAUGGCUUUAGUGGGAUUACUGUAUACAUGUUUUAAUAUAUAUGUUUUUGCAGAGUU